UUCGACCUCACUGGAGAGAGGCCGGGCGGGUGCAAGGCACACGCCUUCGGCCCACCGAAGGGGCAAGGUCUGGCGGGCCCGAGAAGGGCUGGGCCAGCACCGAAUCUCUCAGGUAAAGCGGACAGCGAGGGCCCC
rnacentral:ncRNA from 1 species